rnacentral:rRNA from 1 species
GGAGUCAGCAACGCCCGAAGUCAGUGACCUAACCAUAAAGGGAGGAGCUGCCGAAGGCGGGGCCGGUAACGUGGGUGAAGUCGUAACAAGGUACC